GUAUAGGGGAGCCGUAGGGAAACCGAGUCUUAACCGGGCGUUAAGUUGCAGGGUAUAGACCCGAAACCCGGUGAUCUAGCCAUGGGCAGGUUGAAGGUUGGGUAACACUAACUGGAGGACCGAACCGACUAAUGUUGAAAAAUUAGCGGAUGACCUGUGGCUGGGGGUGAAAGGCCAAUCAAACCGGGAGAUAGCUGGUUCUCCCCGAAAGCUAUUUAGGUAGCGCCUCGUGAAUUCAUCUCCGGGGGUAGAGCACUGUUUCGGCUAGGGGGCCAUCCCGGCUUACCAACCCGAUGCAAACUGCGAAUACCGGAGAAUGUUAUCACGGGAGACACACGGCGGGUGCUAACGUCCGUCGUGAAGAGGGAAACAACCCAGACCGCCAGCUAAGGUCCCAAAGUCAUGGUUAAGUGGGAAACGAUGUGGGAAGGCCCAGACAGCCAGGAUGUUGGCUUAGAAGCAGCCAUCAUUUAAAGAAAGCGUAAUAGCUCACUGGUCGAGUCGGCCUGCGCGGAAGAUGUAACGGGGCUAAACCAU
rnacentral:rRNA from 2 species